rnacentral:rRNA from 1 species
GUGAACGCUGGCGGUAUGGAUAAGGCAUGCAAGUCGAAUGGGUUUAGACCCAUGGCAGACGAGGUAGUAACAGGUAGGAACGUCCCCGGAAGUCGGGCAUAACCAGCCGAAAGGUUGGAUAAUUCCCGAUAUUGUCGCGAGAUGAAAGAUUUAUCGCUUCCGGAGCGGCCUGCCUUGUAUCAGCUAGUUGGUGAGGUAACGGCUCACCAAGGCUAUGACGCAUAGGGGACCUGAGAGGGUGACCCCCACCGAUUGAACUGAGACACGGUCAAUACCCCUACGGGGGGCCGCAGCCGAGAAUAUUCGACAAUGGGCGAAAGCCUGAUCGAGCGAUACCGCGUGGUGGAUGAAGUGCUUCGGCACGUAAACAUCUUUUGUCGGGGAAGAAGUCAUUGACUGUACCCGAAGAAUAAGGGGCUCCUAACUCUG